rnacentral:tRNA from 1 species
GCCGGAAUUGCUCAGUUGGGAGAGCGUUAGACUGAAGUUGUUUACGCAUCAAUCAUCUAAAGUCCCCCGUUUCAAUCCCGGGUUCCGGCG